UACAGAGGUCCCAAGCGUUGUUCGGAUUUAUUGGGCGUAAAGGGAGUGUAGGCGGCCAAGAAAGUCAGGCGUCAAAUGGAAGCGCUCAACGCUUUCAAUCGUUUGAUACUUCUUGGCUCGAGGAGCGGAGAUGAGAUCGGAAUUCACGGUGUAGCAGUGAAAUGCGUAGAUAUCGUGAGGAAGACCAAAGGCGAAAGCAGAUCUCUGGAAGCUUUCUGACGCUGAGGCUCGAAGGCCAAGGGAGCAAACGGG
rnacentral:rRNA from 1 species